rnacentral:rRNA from 1 species
CUACGGGUCGCACCAGUGAGGAAUAUUGCACAAUGGAGGAAACUCUGAUGCAGCAACGCCGCGUGGAGGAUGACGCAUUUCGGUGUGUAAACUCCUUUUAUAUGUCAAGAAAAUGACGGUAGCAUACGAAUAAGCUCCGGCUAACUCCGUGCCAGCAGCCGCGGUAAUACGGAGGGAGCAAGCGUUACUCGGAAUCACUGGGCGUAAAGGACGCGUAGGCGGGAUAGAAAGUCAGGUGUGAAAUCCUAUGGCUCAACCAUAGAACUGCACUUGAAACUUCUAACCUAGAGUAUGGGAGGGGAAGAUGGAAUUAGUGGUGUAGGGGUAAAAUCCGUAGAUAUCACUAGGAAUACCAAAAGCGAAGGCGAUCUUCUGGAACAAUACUGACGCUAAGGCGUGAAAGCGUGGGGAGCAAACAGGAUUAGAUACCCCGGUAGUC